AACGUAGGAGACAAACGUUAUCCGGAGUUACUGGGCGUAAAGGGCUCGUAGGCGGCCAACUAAGUCAGACGUGAAAUCCCUCGGCUUAACCGGGGAACUGCAUCUGAUACUGGAUGGCUUGAGAUUGGGAGAGGGAUGCGGAAUUCCAGGUGUAGCGGUGAAAUGCGUAGAUAUCUGGAGGAACACCGGUGGCGAAGGCGGCAUCCUGGACCAACACUGACGCUGAGGAGCGAAAGCCAGGGGAGCAAACGGG
rnacentral:rRNA from 1 species